rnacentral:rRNA from 1 species
UACGUAGGGGGCAAGCGUUGUCCGGAAUCAUUGGGCGUAAAGAGCUUGUAGGCGGUUUGUCGCGUCUGCCGUGAAAGCCCAGGGCUUAACCCUGGGUCUGCGGUGGGUACGGGCAGACUAGAGUGUGGUAGGGGAGACUGGAAUUCCUGGUGUAGCGGUGAAAUGCGCAGAUAUCAGGAGGAACACCGAUGGCGAAGGCAGGUCUCUGGGCCACUACUGACGCUGAGAAGCGAAAGCAUGGGGAGCAAACAGG